CUUGAGAAGCCUAAGAGAGAGGGUUGGUCAAGACUUUCUCCUGAAGAGUUACUUACUUUUUCCUCUCCUGGUGACAGGACAUCCUUCCCCUCCACCAAUUUCCAACUGAAGUGACAACUGAAGAGCCUCUGUCAAACUUAUCUCACAGCUCCUGGUGCCCUGGGUCUGAACUGUGGCCAGUGGACCAAGACCAGGGCCAGCCAAACCUGAAUCGCUCUCAGGGGGCCCAAGGCUGCCAAGGCCUGGAUUCUCAAACACCAGGAGGGAGGGAAAAGGGGUAGUUAGAAUAGGGACACCUUCCCUACUUUCCUCACUAAUUCCCUCCCUGCCAGCCAUUUCUUUGUGUUACCCCAACUGACUUGGUUUGUAAUCAAGUUGUUGUCUUCCCAAAGUGACUCAAGUGUGAGUGGGCCAGCUUGAGGGAGAGAGUAAUCUCCCUGAGAAGAAAACUUUGGGCUCGAGAGUGGAGGAAGUCAAGAGCCAGUUUAGGGAAGCAGCCAUAGCUGAGGUGGGAAGGCUGAAGUGGGAAACUACUCACUCACUCUCAUCUCUCUCUGGGCCAGCUUCAAAUACCAGCUGCCUUUCCUGGACCCUGCUUUGAAGGGGAAAAUAUCCAUUCCUCCUCUAUCCUUUUUACCACCAACUAAUUCCUCCAUUACACAUUCUAUUGAAGGACUUGGAGAUCUCUUUCAUGCUCUGGUCCCAGGAAUUUAGUCAUUCAUGUCCUUUCUCCUACUUCUUCUCACCAAAGUGUAUAAUCUCAGCAUUUUGAACAUGACAAAAUUUGACAGAGAAGAUAGACAUAGCUACAAGCAAAACAAUUUGACAAAUCAGAUAUUGUAACUGAGGGCAUUUUUCAGUUGGUAAAGAGUCAGAGAGGAAGAAUGGAGUGCUGAUCCCCUCAAGGCAAGGCAAAGGAGGUAUCUCUCUGUUGUUAAAGUUGGCCCAGAAGAAGAAGGAAGGGGCCAUGAAAUAGGGCAAAGCUACUCACAACCAGUGUUGCCCCAUCCAGAGAUGAGACAGUCAGUGCCUGCAGGUGCACAGGACUUGGGCAGAGAGAUGGCAGUCACACGACUACUGAGGAGAGCUGGGGUUUUCAACUUGAUCAGCAUGAUGUCAUUAUCCAAGGUCCAGCUGCUGUAUUUUGGGUGACGGAUGAUCUUUUCUGCGUCGAUAAACUGCUCAUUGCCCUCAUUGA